rnacentral:lncRNA from 1 species
GCAGAACCACGCAUGUGGCUGAGUUUUAUAUAAACAACAUCAAAUUAAUCGCGCGUUACGACGAUACACAAUCUUAUUUGAUGUAUCGGCAGCUGAAUUUUACAUAAACACUAGCAAAGUAACCGUAGGUUGCGACAGCAUAUAAUUUCCUUCAACGUAUAUGCGGCUCGAGUUCUAUGCACCUUCUGAUCCUCCAAAUCAAUAUUCGUCCUCUCCAACUCAUUUCACCAUUCUUCUUUUCCAAAUUUCCUCUCCUACCUAUUAGUGAAACAGAAAUAAAAAAAAAGCAGAAAAAAGAUCAGUCGGAAUCAAUAUCCAACGUUUUAGCUGGUAAUGUCAAUCAGUAUCCAACGAUUCCUUGAUGUUCAGAUCAAACAAACAAAUAAUAAAACAUUUGUAAGUCAAGGAAGAUAUAUCAAAGGCAUGUUGAAGAAAUUUAGAAUGGUUAAAUCCAAGACAAUACAUACACCAAUAGGGACCAAUGGUUAUCAGGACUUGGAUACGAGUGAUUAAGUGAAGAAAUGGUGGACCAAAAGGUAUAUUUGUCAAUGAUCGAGAGUCUACUUUAUGCGACCACAUCUAGACCAAAUGAAAUGUUUAGUUAUGCUUGUGCGCAAGAUUUAAAGCCGCACCAGAAGGAAGUCCUUUGAAAGGAAUAAAGAGGAUAUUGAGGUAUUUGAAUCAUACACAAAGUGUUGGACUCUGACAUAUCGAGGUGUUACAAUUUGAAUCAAUUGGAAUAUUUAGAGUGUUAUUAUGCGGGAUGCAAGGUGGAUAUAAAUAGCACUUCGAGCACAUGUCAAUUGCUCGGAAGAUCACUUGAGUCUUUGUCAUCGAAGAAACAAAAUUCGGUUACAAUAUCAACGAUCAAACCAAAGUACAUUUCCAUGAAACCCAACUUUAUAAGACUAUAGAAUCAAAUUUACACUGAGUGCAUUUACUUUGUGACGAUAAAUGUGUUGUCAAGAUAGCCACCAAUCCGUUACAACACUAAAAAAUCAAAACACAUUAGUAUCUGACAUCACUUCAUUAGAGAUUUGGUCCCCUGAUGUGGACGGCCUUGUACUUUGUCUUUUAAACCCUCUAUGUAUGGUGGAAAUAAUUUUAUUUUAUUUUAUGCCUCUUCAUGUGAAAAUAAACUAAUUCUUGUAAAUUCAUGUAUAAUAUCUGUGAAAUUUAUGCACCCUAAAAGGCUCUUAGUAUUUUUAAUGUAGGCUGCAGAGGGAGAGAGAGAGAAAUGUUGGAGAAGAAACACGCAGCUUGUAACCUAUUUCAGCUUAUUUUGAUAUUAUAGAAGCUUAUAAGCUGUACAAAGACAUGUCCUUCAAUAAACUAGUGAUUGAACACCCAUCAUAAGGGCCGCCACGCAACUAAUACAUCCAUCCAUCCAUCCAUCGCACCGCUUGGUGGGCCGUCCACAUCACCAAACCUUCUGGCUUCUGCACUGCUCUCCUCCACCCCUCAACGAAGCCUCUGGUGCCUCGGCCACCGCAGCAGCCUGGCCCUGCCCCGGCCCCCGGGCGUGGUGUCAGGUCUCAGGUGUGGUGGCGCUUUCUCCUCUCCGGCACGGUGGCCGCGUCAUCCCAGCUCUCCCGCGCGGCGGCGGCGGCCGUUUCCUCUCCUGCGCUCCUCCUGCCGCACACAGCCAGAGUACGCACCCCUCCUCCCUCCCUAUCCUGGGUAUCCCCUCCCACAUGAUUCGGUGGUUCGAUCGGCGCGAGUUACUACCCGGCGUGGUUCGAAAUUAGAAUGCGCGAUUAACUUGUACCUUAGGAUUGGCCUGCGUUUGGAUCUCUGGGCUGGAGAGAGCCGGGCCUGAGGGAGUGAAUCACUUUGCUUCUGAUGGGAUCGCGCCGGAAUUCGAAUCGGAUCGGAUCGGCUUAUACACAGGCCGCCCUGCCGCUGAUCGGAAUCUCUCUUCACCGUUCAGUAGUAGCAGAUUUCAUUGCUGCAUGUCGAGCUAAUUCAGUUUACGCAUCAUACCAAUCGACGGUUCUGUCUGGGUCCUGCUAGAGUGCUAGACUGCUAGGCAUGUGUUCUUCUUCAUACUUAAAGCGGAAAAAAUCAUGUCCAAAAAGAUUAGAUGUUCCUUGAUACUACUCUGUGAGUCACAAGGAAGUGCAUGAUACUAAAUAGAGCUGGUAGCGGCUGCUUUCACAUUAGCAGUCGUCUACUGCUUGUUAGAAUUGAUCUCCACCAACGGCCAACUGGGCCCUUGACCUCACGCCUUGAUCAGGGCGUCCAGCCCAAGGUAGCAGACCGAAGACAACAUAUUGGAAUGUAGCAUCCGCUAUUGCAAGCCAUUAUUGCUAUUGUUAGGCCACUAUUUUACUAUAUGGAGGAUUCAAAUGAUGAUGUGGAUGAUUCCAAUGGUAAUGAAAAUGUUAAGAUGGCAAUUCGGAAUAUCAUAAAGAAAUGAUGGGAUGAUUAAUGACAUUAUUUUCAAUUGAUAUGAGAACUUUGAGAUAAUUUGACUCCACAUGCCUUCUUUAUACCUUAUUCAUUUAUAUGCUUCUAUGUGGUUUCAUGGCAUUAAAUGCAAUAAUUAGCUAAAAACUUCUAAUUAUUCAAGAAAACAAUAUAUUAGUAUUGGUAUAUCUGUCAUCCAAAAAAUUGGUUGUUUUUAGUAUUCCGCUAUUGAACUUAGCAUCCGUUAUAGCAUCUGCUAUCUGCGAUUCGCUACCAGACUUUAAUCCGCUACGAAGCCGCUAUCCGCUAUUUAUUACCUUGAGUAAGGCAAAUGUUGAAAGAAGUGGAACUGACAGAAACUCAGACACCUGAUCACGUUUUCCUUCAGCUUAGCUCAAUUGCUCUUUGUGUUUGUUUUGCUGGAUGUUGCUGUUCCCUGAGUGUAAAAUCUGAUGCAGCUGGUUCAAUGUAAAUACACUGAUUCACUAGAAAAAAACAGGUGACAGAGGUUUGAUCCUAGGGAUGCUGAGGGCUUUGUAUAUAUCAGCCUCCAUGGCUGAAUACUGCAUAUGGCAAUCACAAGGUCAUGACUGGGUCACUGUAGGUUGUCAUUGUUGAUUUUUCCUUUUUUUACUUCUUUCCACUCUUCACAUUAAUUUAUUGGGGAGUUUGUUUACUAUUUCUGCAUCUCUACAUUAAAAGUUUAAUCAAAGGCUAUUGUCCUUGUGGGUGGAUGUGGAUCACUUAGCAGUAGAGUAGAGUGGGAAGGAAGAGAAGAACAAAGUACUCCCUCCAUCCGGAUGACUUAGGCGUUUUAGCCCAUUUAACUUGUCCAUGCACUUUGACGCAGUCCGCACCCAGUUUCUCUGUCCGCACAAAAUUUUCCUGUGAGACGCGUAGCAGGCGAUGAGGAAGCGGCCCAGCUGGUUUGUUUUUGGCGCCAACGCGUACUAGUCGGAAGCAGCCCACCUUUUGUUGUAAUCAAGGUGCGGAGUGUUAAUUACGUUUUGUUGUAAUCAACUCUUAAUCAAGACAAAGCAGGGUUACAUAUGUCAUUUUUCUUCUCCCUUAAUUUGCCUUAAAAAACCUACAACGUCUAAGUCAUCCUGACGAAGGGAGUAGGCAAGUGGGAAUUGGUGAGGGCAGGAUUGUUAGAAUUUUCAGAAUUCUGUUAGUGUUCAUGCCUCUCUUCUCCCUCUGUUUGCCUAAAGUACUCUCUAGCUAUGCCAUUCUAGGCCUGUAAUCAUCGAGUUGGGCCUCCUAUUCCUACUAGGCCUUGUAACCCGCACCCAGUGGCGGAGCUCUAUAAAACUAACGCCCCGGGCCACUAUAAAAUAUGAAGGUAACCCUAAAAUAUUGUACGGCUAAAUAUAACGCUAAAACAAAAUAUACCAAAAACAUAGACUAAGAUAUUAUUUACCUUAAUUCAGUAUCUAAAAAUACAAUAAACUUGAAAAAAUAUAAAGGUACCUAAUUAGAGGUGAUUUGGUCCUUUCUCGCCUCUAAUAACUUCAUCAACAUUAGCACUUAAAUUUGAACCUACACAUUGCAAGUUAAUUAUUUGUAUAAAAUGAGAGAUACAAUAUAACAAUAUAACUAAUGAAUGCAAAAUUUUAUACCACUUGAACAAUCUAGUAUUUAGCUCGCUCACUACAAUCACUAGUAAUAAAAAAGAAGUUGAGAAGAGUUUUACUGCUUAGUGCUUACAGCUAGUUGGAGUCUAUCACCCUAGAGGCGUGUGGAGCAGUGGAUGUGGAUGGAAAUUGGAAUGGAGGCCGACUGCCUCACUGCAACACUGCCCGAGUGGGCACUGACGGCCGACGCUGGCCCUGGCAGCCUGGCUGGUUGGUCAGACCCAGACGACGGAGCAGCGGACGGCGGAUGGGCACCGGACGACCGACGACACACGGGCGGACGGGCGCGCCGCGCGCGAAGCCAAGCAGGUGGAGGCGGCCGGCGAGCGCCGUCAUGCGUGGUCACAUGGAUGCGCAGGCAGGCAGCGAAGCGGCUGGGAGCGUGGGAUGGAAGGCAGCAGGCAAGGAAGAGUAGCAGGCCUUUGAGGCCGGUUAGGGUUUUUUUUGGGCUAAAAUUCUCUCUAUAUACAUAAACGUUUUGGGCUACGUCCCGGGCCACGGCCCAGGUGGCCCGGGGCCCAUAUCCGCCCCUGCCCGCACCGGCACCUCUCCAUCUUGAACACUGUCUGUUGCCUGAUGGUGAACAGUGUUGACAUUAUCACCCUGAUUUUUAGUUGCUUCUCUGAAACUCAUUGCUCGUAUGUCUUUGCCCAUCCCAGAAAUUCCAGCUGAAGUUUGUUUGAGGAUAGGCGACAGCUUUGCGAGUCCUUCGUGUUGAAGGAGAAAUUGUAGCUGAAGUGAAAAAACAGCAGGGAACGAUGGCACUAUCACGAAGUAUGAGAGCAUGUUUGCACAGUGGAAGACUUGCACUUCUUGCCAUAUUGGUCUCUGGUGGAAUUGUAUUGCAAAUCUUGGUAAGCAUCUAACUUCAAUAUCUAUGUGGCAGUUUGUUAUCUUUUCCACUGUCACCUAAAUUUCUAUAAUUCUUGCUCCUUCAGGCUUGUGCUCUCUAUAACAACUGGUGGCCAAUGCUAACAGGUUAGAUUUUUUUGUGUAAUGCUGGCAAACUAAGCUUAUAUCAUCCUAAUAAUUGUUUGUAGGGACAUCGUAAGUAAUCCUUGACGUUUUGUGCAGUUCUCAUGUACCUUAUCCUACCAAUGCCCCUCAUAUUUUUCCUGGGUUCUGAUACUUCCUCCAUGAUGUCCAAUGGGGGAGACGGGUAAGUGAUUGUCUCUAGUCCAGGCUGCUGCUUUUUUCCCCUUAAUCACCCCUGCCACCUGCUUUGGCACUAUUUGUUGCCCCCAAAGAUAUGCAUUGCCUUGCUGGCAUUCAUUUUUAGUAGAGAUUCUAAAACAAAGGUCCUGAGCCAUCAUGGUUGGAUUGUCUUCCUAAACAACAUUUCUGGUGCACAAACGAAUAGACUUCAUUGCCAUGAAACAGUCUGCUUGUUACGUGAAACCUAAUUGCUGAUUACAUUCCCUAGGUUCUCUUUCACAUCUUUCUAACUAUAUAUAUUUUUUCUUCAUACAUGGCAAAGUUAAUUGGUGUUACCUUUCCUGCCACUGCAGCUGGGUGAACUUCACGAAAUUCUUGACGGGCG